AUUGAAGGGCGUGUUGUGAUAUAGCGGAAGUGUGCACAAGAACUCGCCUCUGAUCACUAGAGAGUAUUGUUACCCGAGGUCAAUCCUGAUCCAUAAGGUGACAUUGUGAAAAUUACAAAUUAAUUUAAAUAUAAUUGGUUCGGACAUGUUCAAAUGAUGAGAGACAAGAGGUGGAUGAAAAGAAAAUGGAAAUGUUUUAUAAGAGCUUCAUUAAUGGUAAAUGACCAAUUAAUAAAAAGAACCUGCCUUAAACCGGAAAAUUCACUGUCGGUUUUAAGAAAACUAAAACGAAUACAAUUGUUGAUUCAUUGUAAAUUGUUUAGUCGCUGUUCCUAUUUUUUCGAAGACUGGAUUUCUUGAGAUCGCAAGAAAAGAAAAGGAAAAAAAAGGAGAACGACAAACAAGAUUGAAUUGGAUAAACAUAAAUUGGAGGUCGAAAUCACAAAAGAAAAUUUUCAAGAAAUACGAAUGAUAAUGAAGUUAUUGUCUGUUAAAUGCUCAGAGUCAAAUCAAUUUUCUUUUCACGAGGAUGAUGUUUGAAGUCAACAUUGAAGGUGAAGUACCUUAUUAAAUUUGUUUUUAUUAUUUACAAAAUUAUAAUCACUCAUUUAUCCAUCUCAAAGUUAGAAAGACAGAUUUCUGAAGGAGAAAUUGCUAUCAUUUAGUAUCUUAUCCCUUUUGGUGUUGUAUUUUUCUGUCACAUUCUGUUCACAAAACCAUCUAAAUUUUAAACUGAAGGUGAAGUCCCUUAUUGAAUUUAUUGAAAAAUAUUCAACAAUUACAUUAAUUUAUUAAUUCAUCCCUUUAAUAAAGUCAUGGGUGAUGGUAACUGUAUGUUCAGAGAUGUUUCACUCUAGCUCAAAAACAACAGAAAUUAUCAAACUCUUUGGGAAGAGUUUGUAUGAUACAUAUACAAUAAUUGGAAGUAUCUUCAUUCUUUUAUUCCAAAUAGUACAAUGCAGGAACAUCAAGCAUACAUGAUUAAGGAUGGAACAUAUGGUGGUAAUGUUGAAUUAGCUGCCAUUAAUGAAUUGUACAAUGUUGCAAUUCAGGUUCAUCAUAAAAAUGAGGGUGAAAUUAUUCUUCCUCUGUUCACCGUUUUUUGGUUGAACAUUUACAGAAAAGAAGAUUUCAGUGUUAUAUAGUGGCAAAUUUGACAACGGCCACUAUGAUGCUCUGCCAUAAAUAAUCAUGAGCAUGAAAGAAAUGUAGAAGAAAAUAAAAUAUCACAUCACAGUAAAAAAAGACUAAAGAAUGAGAAUUCAAGCACUUUAUAUGAAAAUUGUAGAAGAAAGUAAAAACCAUUGGAAAGUUAGGUUGCAAAAAAUGAGGAAAUAUAAGAUGAGGACAAGAGAACAAGGUGAUGAUAAAGAUAGGGAAAUAAGAUUGGAGAGAAAGAAAGAAAAUUAUAGAAAUAAAAAAAAGUACAAGAAAGUAAAAAAGAUGAAGUAAUAUGAUUGCAAAAAAAUGGAGAGAAAAAGGUAGAAUAAAUAGAAAACAAGAAAGUGAAAGCAACUGAAAAAUACAACUAAAAUGGUGAAAGCUUUCCAGAGAAAAUCAGUAGGUAGCAUUCAAUUAUGAUCCUAAUUGUAAUUAUGCAUCUGAAAAAAUUGUCUCCCUGGGCUCUAUAUGCAAAACAUGUGAAAAGUGUGGUGCUAGAAAGUGGGACAAAGAAUCAUUAGGUAUGUUUUGUUCUAAAGGUAAAGUCCAUUUACCAAUAAUUGAGCCUCCAAAACUUAUAAAACAUCUUCUUUUGGGUACCAGUUCAAAAUCAAUAUAUGUGUGUGUGUGUGUGUGCGCGUGUACUUCUCCACUUUAAAUACCAGAUAUUAUAAUUCUACAAAUAAAAUGUUUUU